rnacentral:rRNA from 1 species
UACGUAGGGUGCAAGCGUUGUCCGGAAUUAUUGGGCGUAAAGAGCUCGUAGGCGGCUUGUCGCGUCGGCUGUGAAAACCUGGGGCUCAACCCCGGGACUGCAGCCGAUACGGGCAAGCUAGAAUUCGGUAGGGGAGACUGGAAUUCCUGGUGUAGCGGUGAAAUGCGCAGAUAUCAGGAGGAACACCGGUGGCGAAGGCGGGUCUCUGGGCCGAAAUUGACGCUGAGGAGCGAAAGCGUGGGGAGCAAACAGG